UACGGAGGGUGCGAGCGUUGUCCGGAAUCACUGGGCGUAAAGGGCGCGUAGGCGGCCUGAUAAGUAGGGGUGAAAUCCUGCGGCUUAACCGCAGGGCUGCCUUCUAAACUGUCAGGCUCGAGCACAGUAGAGGCAGGUGGAAUUCCCGGUAUAGCGGUGGAAUGCGUAGAGAUCGGGAGGAACACCAGUGGCGAAGGCGGCUCUCGUGGACCAGUACUGACGCUGAGACGCGAAAGCGUGGGUAGCAAACAGG
rnacentral:rRNA from 1 species